rnacentral:rRNA from 1 species
AGUGAACGCUGGCGGUAGGCCUAACACAUGCAAGUCGAACGGCAGCACAGAGGAGCUUGCUCCUUGGGUGGCGAGUGGCGGACGGGUGAGGAAUACAUCGGAAUCUACUCUGUCGUGGGGGAUAACGUAGGGAAACUUACGCUAAUACCGCAUACGACCUACGGGUGAAAGCAGGGGAUCUUCGGACCUUGCGCGAUUGAAUGAGCCGAUGUCGGAUUAGCUAGUUGGCGGGGUAAAGGACCACCAAGGCGACGAUCCGUAGCUGGUGUGAGAGGAUGAUCAGCCAGACUGGAACUGGGACACGGUCCAUACUCCUACGGGAGACAGCAGUGGGGAAUAAUGGACAAGGGGCGCAAGCCUGAUCCAUCCAUACCGCGUGGGUGAAGAAGGCCUUCGGGUUGUAAAGCCCUUUUGUUGGGAAAAAAAUCCAUCUGGUUAAUACCCGGGUGGGAUGACGGUACCCAAAGAAUAAGCACCGGCUAACUUCGUGCCAGCCGCCGCCGUAA